rnacentral:rRNA from 1 species
UGGGGAAUUUUGGACAAUGGCGAAAGCCUGAUCCAGCCAUGCCGCGUGCAGGAUGAAGGCCUUCGGGUUGUAAACUGCUUUUGUACGGAACGAAAAGCCUCUUUCUAAUAAAGAGAGGUCAUGACGGUACCGUAAGAAUAAGCACCGGCUAACUACGUGCCAGCAGCCGCGGUAAUACGUAGGGUGCAAGCGUUAAUCGGAAUUACUGGGCGUAAAGCGUGCGCAGGCGGUUUUGUAAGACAGAGGUGAAAUCCCCGGGCUCAACCUGGGAACUGCCUUUGUGACUGCAAGGCUGGAGUGCGGCAGAGGGGGAUGGAAUUCCGCGUGUAGCAGUGAAAUGCGUAGAUAUGCGGAGGAACACCGAUGGCGAAGGCAAUCCCCUGGGCCUGCACUGACGCUCAUGCACGAAAGCGUGGGGAGCAAACAGGAUUAGAUACCCUGGUAGUCCACGCCCUAAACGAUGUCAACUGGUUGUUGGGUCUUCACUGACUCAGUAACGAAGCUAACGCGUGAAGUUGACCGCCU